ensembl:snRNA U6 U6 spliceosomal RNA
AUGCUCUCUUUUACAGUACAUAUACUAAAAUUGGAAUGAUACAGAGAUGAUUAACAUGGCCCUUGUGCAAAGAUGACAUGCAAACUCAUGACACAUUCCAUAUUUAU